GUUGUAAAGCUCUUUCGUCGGGGAAGAAAAUGACUGUACCCGAAUAAGAAGGUCCGGCUAACUUCGUGCCAGCAGCCGCGGUAAUACGAAGGGACCUAGCGUAGUUCGGAAUUACUGGGCUUAAAGAGUUCGUAGGUGGUUGAAAAAGUUGGUGGUGAAAUCCCAGAGCUUAACUCUGGAACUGCCAUCAAAACUUUUCAGCUAGAGUAUGAUAGAGGAAAGCAGAAUUUCUAGUGUAGAGGUGAAAUUCGUAGAUAUUAGAAAGAAUACCAAUUGCGAAGGCAGCUUUCUGGAUCAUUACUGACACUGAGGAACGAAAGCAUGGGUAGCGAAGAGGAUUAGAUACCCUCGUAGUCCAUGCCGUAAACGAUGUGUGUUAGACGUUGGAAAUUUAUUUUCAGUGUCGCAGUGAAAGCGAUAAACACACCGCCUGGGGAGUACGACCGCAAGGUUAAAACUCAAAUGAAUUGACGGGGACCCGCACAAGUAGUGGAGCAUGUGGUUUAAUUCGAAGAUACGCGCAGAACCUUACCAACACUUGACAUGUUCGUCGCGACUUUAAGAGAUUAAAGUUUUCGGUUCGGCCGGACGAAACACAGGUGCUGCAUGGCUGUCGUCAGCUCGUGUCGUGAGAUGUUGGGUUAAGUCCCGCAACGAGCGCAACCCUCACUUUUAGUUGCCAUCAUUUAGUUGGGCACUCUGAAAGAACUGCCAGUGAUAAGCUGGAGGAAGGUGGGGAUGACGUCAAGUCCUCAUGGCCCUUACGUGUUGGGCUACACACGUGCUACAAUGGUAUAUACAACAGGAAGCAAGACGGCGACGUUAAGCAAAUCCUCAAAAGAUACCUCAGUUCGGAUUGCACUCUGCAACUCGAGUGCAUGAAGCUGGAAUUACUAGU
rnacentral:rRNA from 1 species